ACCUAAACCUGAUCAGAGCGAAAUGCCGAUAUUUUCAUCGGCAGAAGCGGGAGCGGGACCGAAG
rnacentral:ncRNA from 2 species